CGCGGCCUAUCAGCUUGUUGGUGAGGUAAUGGCUCACCAAGGCGACGACGGGUAGCCGGCCUGAGAGGGCGACCGGCCACACUGGGACUGAGACACGGCCCAGACUCCUACGGGAGGCAGCAGUAGGGAAUAUUGGGCAAUGGGCGCAAGCCUGACCCAGCGACGCCGCGUGAGGGAUGAAGGUCUUCGGAUUGUAAACCUCUUUCAGUAGGGAAGAAGCGAAAGUGACGGUACCUAAAGAAGAAGCACCGGCUAACUAUGUGCCAGCAGCCGCGGUAAUACAUAGGGUGCAAGCGUUGUCCGGAAUUAUUGGGCGUAAAGAGCUCGUAGGUCGUUUGUCGCGUCGAUUGUGAUAAUCUGAGGCUCAACCUCAGACCUGCAGUCGAUACGGGUAAACUAGAGUGUGGUAGGGGAGACUGGAAUUCCUGGUGUAGCGGUGGAAUGCGCAGAUAUCAGGAGGAACACCAAUGGCGAAGGCAGGUCUCUGGGCCAUAACUGACACUGAGGAGCGAAAGUGCGGGGAGCGAACAGGAUUAGAUACCCUGGUAGUCCGCACCGUAAACGGUGGGCACUAGUUGUGGGAACCUUCCACGGUUUCCGCGACGCAGCAAACGCAUUAAGUGCCCCGCCUGGGGAGUACG
rnacentral:rRNA from 1 species